UCCUGGCUCAGGAUGAACGCUAGCUACAGGCUUAACACAUGCAAGUCGAGGGGCAGCAUUGGGAUAGCUGCUAUUCAGAUGGCGACCGGCGCACGGGUGAGUAACGCGUAUCCAACCUCCUGCCAGUAGGAACAGCCCGGCGAAAGUCGGAUUAAUGCCCUAUGUUCUUCAAUGCGGACAUCUAAGUUGAAGGAAAGAUUCAUCGCUGGCAGAUGGGGAUGCGUCCGAUUAGCUUGCCGGCGGGUAACGGCCCACCGGGGCGACGAUCGGUAGGGGUUCUGAGAGGAAGGUCCCCCACACUGGUACUGAGACACGGACCAGACUCCUACGGGAGGCAGCAGUGAGGAAUAUUGGUCAAUGGGCGUAAGCCUGAACCAGCCAAGUAGCGUGCAGGGAAUGACGGCCCUACGGGUUGUAAACUGCUUUUAUGCGGGGAUAAAAGUGCGGCACGUGUGCCGCUUUGCAGGUACCGCAUGAAUAAGGACCGGCUAAUUCCGUGCCAGCAGCGGC
rnacentral:rRNA from 1 species